rnacentral:rRNA from 1 species
ACAUGUCUCGUAUGGUUUCCAGAGAUGGAUUCCUUCAGUUCGGCUGGCGAGAACACAGGUGUUGCAUGGCUGUCGUCAGCUCGUGUCGUGAGAUGUUGGGUUAAGUCCCGCAACGAGCGCAACCCUCGCCUUUAGUUGCCAUCAUUUAGUUGGGCACUCUAGAGGGACUGCCGGUGAUAAGCCGGAGGAAGGUGGGGAUGACGUCAAGUCCUCAUGGCCCUUACGGGUUGGGCUACACACGUGCUACAAUGGCGGCGACAAUGGGCAGCGAAGGGGCGACCCGGUGCAAAUCCCAAAAAGCCGUCUCAGUUCGGAUUGUACUCUGCAACUCGAGUGCAUGAAGGUGGAAUCGCUAGUAAUCGCGUAACAGCAUGACGCGGUGAAUACGUUCCCGGGCCUUGUACACACCGCCCGUCACACCAUGGGAGUUGGUUUUACCCGAAGCUGGUGCGCUAACCGCAAGGAGGCAGCCAACCACGGUAAGGUCAGCGACUGGGGUGAAGUUGUAACAAGGUAGCCCUAGGGGAACCUGGGGCUGAUCACCUCCUUAAGCUUGGAUUCCCGGGC